rnacentral:rRNA from 1 species
UUGGAGGGCAAGUCUGGUGCCAGCAGCCGCGGUAAUUCCAGCUCCAAUAGCGUAUAUUAAAGUUGUUGCAGUUAAAAAGCUCGUAGUUGAAUUUCGGGAUUGACGCGACGGUCGUGCCUUAAGGGGUAUGAACUGUCGCUGUUGAUUUCUCACCUUCUGGAGAAUCUCGAUGCCCUUUAUUGGGUGUCUUGUGGAUCCAGGACCUUUACCUUGAAAAAAUUAGAGUGUUUAAAGCAGGCAUUUUUGCUCGAAUACAUUAGCAUGGAAUAAUAGAAUAGGACGGCUUGGUUCUAUUUUGUUGGUUUCUAGGAUCACCGUAAUGAUUAAUAGGGAUAGUUGGGGGCAUUAGUAUUCAAUUGUCAGAGGUGAAAUUCUUGGAUUUAUUGAAGACUAACUACUGCGAAAGCAUUUGCCAAGGAUGUUUUCAUUAAUCAAGAACGAAAGUUAGGGGAUCGAAGACGAUCAGAUACCGUCGUAGUCUUAACCAUAAACUAUGCCGACUAGGAAUCAGACGAUGUUAAUUUUUUAAUGACUCGUUUGGCACCUUAUGGGAAACCAAAG